GUCUAGAGCCAUGCCACCCUGAAUAAGCCCGAUCCCGUCUGAUCUCGGAAGCUAAGCAGGAUCGGGUUUGAUCAGUACUUGGAUGGGAGACCACCUAGGAAGCCGGGUGCUGUAGGCA
rnacentral:rRNA from 1 species